AGACUGAGAGAAAGGGGGAGAGAGCGAGAGAGAGAGAAAUGGAGAGUGAACACAACUCAGCCCAAAGUGCCUUGAAAAAAAUGAAGAAGGGGAAAAAAAAACAAUUCAGAUGACUGAUUGACACAGCACCCAAUUCAUCACAAUGAGAGAUGGUGGAAAGUAUCUGACAACCAAAAACCACAGUUGGAAGGCGCUCCGAGACCCUCAAGGCCUAGAUGUGGAUGAACUGUAGUGAACUGAGUGGCAGCUAAGGACAAGAGCCCAAUGUUAAAGUGCAAACUGUGUUCAAGAUCUGCAUUCUACUGCCAGCACAUCAGUUGAUGCAAGCAUCUGCGCAGACAGCAUGCUAACACCAAGCUAGCGAAGAACCCAGAGUGAGGCUGAGUGUAUGGUGACCCCAGUCCAGUCCAGCGAUUUUAUACCUUUACUUUGUGUUUUCAGCUUUGUGUUCCAACAUAAACACUAAAAGAACGUGUUUGUGUGUUUGUCCUCUUUCUGGCAGUGUAAGGUUUAUAAGUGGUAGUUCCGUGACAAUGCAUUUCAGGACAUGUUAAGGAGUAAUACAAAAACAGUAUGUCAAGUAUUGCAGUGGGUUACUUUUUCUUUUUCUUUUCUGAAGUUCAGUAAUGUAAUGCAUUACAUGUAUUAUUAAUGUAGAAUAAAUAAUGUGUUUAAUAGAUUAGUUUUUUAAAGUAAGGGCCCCAACACUGGUAGUGACAUGCUUAA